rnacentral:rRNA from 1 species
AUAGUUUUAUUAUAGAUGAAAUCUGGUCAAUGGAAAUUUUAAAUUCAAGCCUUAGCGUGAGGGUAAUAAUGUAGCAUAAUAAUUUGAUACUUAAUUAGUGUCUGGUAUGAAUGUUUUAACGAUUAUAAAAUUGUCUCAAAAUUGUAUUAAAAAUUAAUAUAAAAGUUAAGAUUCUUUUUUAAAAUUAUAAGACAAGAAGACCCCAUAAACCUUUACUAAAAAAUUUUUAUUAAAAUUUUAAUAGUUUAACUGGGGCAGUUAUCUUUUAAAAUAAAUAAGAUAAAAUAUGUUUACUUAAUAAUGUUAACAAUAUAUUUAUAUAUUAAGAUCUUUUUAAUAGAACUUUAUUAAUAAAUUUAUAGAUAAAAGGUACUUUGGGGAUAACAGCGUAAUUUAAAUAAAAAGUUGAAAUUAAAAUUUAAGUUUGCGACCUCGAUGUUGAAUUUAGAUAUCCUGUAGCUGUAAUAGGUUAUAAUGGUUAGAUUGUUCAUCUAUUAAAAUCUUACAUGA